ACCACAGCCAGCAUGGCCAAUGCUCAGGGAUGAUGGGAAUUGGAGUCUGGCAAUAUCUGGAGGGGCAGAGAUUCUCUGCUACUGACGAUUAUUGUUGAGUGGUGCAUUUUUAUAUUGUUUUCCAUGAAUUUUCAUUCUGAGAUGCCUUGAAUGCCUUUUUCUUGAAGGACCGGUGAAAGAGAGAGGGGAGAUCAUAUGUAAUCAGAGUCAGAUUUUUGCGGAAUGGAUGGAUAAUUUAAUCCUGCCUCUCACCCACCCCUUUGCUCAUUGUUAGUAUGGCAUUGACUUUCACAGCAUAUGUCAAUUUCAGCUGCAGUUUCUAACUUCUGGUUAUCCUUUGCUUCCCCCCAUUCAGAGCUUGAGACAUCUGAUCCUUCCGUCUACAAACUACAGUCAGCCAAGGAAGAAGACAGAGACAUUUCUGCCUGCCUUAUCACCGACUUUUUACCUGCACCCAUCAGAGUGGGGGCUGAUGGAAUUGAUGAACAUGAGGUCAACGGAUCAAUCGUCGUAGUGAAAGAAAGUGGCAAGGAAAUACCCAGCUAUGGCAAAGUGAUCUGGGGCAAAGCCAAAGAGACUGAUGGUUGUUAUGCUGAGCAAAAUAACAAUAGAUUUCCAUCGGAGUCAGCAGACGCUGCAACCACCUGCUCAGAAAAGACAACAGGCGGUUUUGAGACAGACGAGAGGUUGAAUCUCCUCUCCCUCACCGUGAUAGGACUGCGAGUCAUUUUCCUCAAGUGUGUUGCCUUCAACCUGCUGUUCACCUUCCACGCUUGGUCUAGCUGAGUUCAGAAUGGCAGAAACAUGGGGAACAUAUCUGGUAUAUUGUGGAAGAACCCCUCAAAACAGAGACAUGUACAAAGUCAUCUUCAGCACAGAGCAUACAUGAGGAACAUCUGCAACUGCUUGGAAAGAACCACACUCUUGCACUCCUUUCAGCUAGGGGUGCCGCCAGCUUUUAUUCUGACAGGGGAAAAGCUUCAACUUCUGGA